rnacentral:rRNA from 1 species
AAUCAACGCUGGCGGCGUGCCUCAGACAUGCAAGUCGAACGAGAAAGUCCCCUUCGGGGGGUGAGUAAAGUGGCGCACGGGUGAGUAACACGUAGGUAAUCUACCUUCGGGUGGGGAAUAACCCAGGGAAACUUGGGCUAACACCGCAUAAUGCAGCGGCACCACAUGGUGACAGUUGUUAAAGCGGGGGAUUUUAGGACCUCGCGCCUGAAGAGGAGCCUGCGGCGGAUUAGCUAGUUGGUAGGGUAACGGCUUACCAAGGCGACGAUCCGUAACCGGCCUGAGAGGGCGGUCGGUCACACUGACACUGACAUACGGGUCAGACUCCUACGGGAGGCAGCAGUCGGGAAUUUUGGGCAAUGGACGAAAGCCUGACCCAGCAACGCCGCGUGAAGGAUG